GUCCCUGCCCUUUGUACACACCGCCCGUCGCUACUACCGAUUGAACGUUUUAGUGAGGUAUUUGGACCGGGCCUCUGGUGGCUCACGCCUCCAGUGCUGCUCGGGAAGACUCCCAAACCUGAGCGUUUAGAGGAAGUAAAAAUCGUAACAAGGUUACCGUAGGUGAACCUGCGGUAGGAUCAUUA
rnacentral:rRNA from 1 species